GUUGUAUUAUGCUUGUACACUAAGCAUGUAUUAUGCUUGUACACUAAGCAUUCAUUGUUUUGAGAUUAGUAUAUUUAGCUAUGCAAUUUAUUUAUGUCGUCAUUGUUUCAAAAAGGGGACCGCCUAGCGCUUGGCCACCGCCUAGGGCUUGUGCCCCACCCAGGGGUAGAAUUACGGCUCUUUAAGGGUAUUUUUGGGUCAUUUUUUUAAUACUAAAGGG
rnacentral:lncRNA from 1 species